CAUAAUUACCAUGUUAAGUGGCCUGCGCAAUUAAUAGUAAACUAAAUGUGGCCCGUCGGCCAAAAAGGUUGGCCGACCCUGGUUUAAAGCGUACAGAUUUUAGCGGAAAGGUACUCGUAUUGAUGAAAAAAAGUCGUCCGACGGUAACAGUAGGGAAAGACUGCCUAAUUGUGCCGUAGAGUCCAUCCGAAUGUGCCCCACAAGUGGGGUACAGUAGGACAGUUGACAAACAUGCUUCAACCCGCGAUGAGUUUUUAUAUCUGAAACGGAACAUUGGUGAUAUAUCGGAGCCCACAGAACUAAGAGGAAAAAUGAAGAAGUAAUAUCCUUCUCCAUCACUGAGCACCGAAAACCUGAAAUCGAUUGGUUCAUUAAUUGUAGAAAAAAAAAAAAAGUAUUGAUAACAAUUCCAAAAAACAAUACAUAGCUAUACUUAUGUUCAAUAACAUUUUUUUCGUUUAACAUAAUGGAUGUGACUAACCACCGAGCUCGGUGGUAUGAACGCAUUGUUUGAGAAAUCGAUGAUGAAUUGAUCACUGAUAUGAGUAAAAUCUGUAUCCUCAUUCAUUUUAUCAAUGAGUACUUCUUUUCUAAAAGAAACGUGGUCACUUAUAUCAAUCGAAAUGAGCGGUGGUUUGCUUCGUGGAAGUUUGAACAGCAAUGCGUCAAUAACAACAUACGAUAGUAACAUAACGUUCCAUAUUUCAAUUCCGUGUAACAUAUAAUGGUAAAAUCUUUCCUCGUUCCUAUAUGAAAAUAAAACAGCAUUUAUCCUUGUUUUUUAUCGACCCAGCGAGACUUAAGAUCCGUGAAUUAGAUUUUAUAAAUUACAGUACGCAAAACAUCGCCACUAAUUAGAAAUCACGUUUAAUAGAGCUAAAUUGACAUGUUCGUUCAUGUCAACAAUACGCGAUGUUCGCCUUAGUUUCCUUUUCACUUCAAUGCAAUCAAUACUAAAUGUCUUCCCCUAAAGUAAAUAAAA